UCACAUUCAGGUAGGCCUAGUGGAGCACCUGAGCUGUGCCUGGAGAGCCCAUCCCACCCGCUCCUUGGGGCUCCACGUUGACUUCAGGCCCUCUGCAUGGGGCAGCUGCUGGGAAAAUCUGGAGAGGAGAUGAGUUGGAUUGGAGAUAUCAGACCUAGACUGGAAGAAGAACAACAAAGGUGACCCAUCUGAAUUACAGUUUUUUUUUUUUUUUUCCUUUGCCUUCAUCUGUUUAAUGCCUCCUCCUGCUUUGGCCUGGAAGAAGGAGAAUUUCCCAGAGCAGUGAAUUGCUGACUGAAUGCUCUCUUCCACUUCUGUCAAGAUUUGAAGUCCUCAUCCUGAGAAGAUGUUUUCAAACUCCUUCUCAUCUGUCUUUACUGAACUUGUGUUCUCUCUCAUUUUUAUCCCAUUGAUUUUUCUUUUUCCUUCGGUAGUAUCUUUCAAAAUUUAUUAUUUAUGCGUACCCUUAUUUGCAUAGUUAGAGGAACAGUUAUUUCACCUCUUUAUUUCACAGUAUUAUUCCCAAACCUGUAUAAUUUAUCUGAAAUUAUUUUUCUUUUCUUUCAUUUUGCUAAAAUAUUAAGUAGCAUAGAGCUAUGACCUAGCCCUAGAGGAUAUUUUCUAGAAAUAUUGCUGCCUCUUUGUUUCCACUUAUCUUUUAAAACCUAUCGAAGAACUAACUUUCUCACUUAAAGUGUGUGAAGCUGGGUUUGGUUUCACUCCCAUUACUUACGUGACUCGAAGUUGAAAGUCAUAGAAAAAUUCAGGAUCGUUAUUUCAGUGCUGCCGCCUUUAUCAGCUAAACUAAUAUAUUUUAAGAAAUAAUCAGUAUUGUUUGA